rnacentral:lncRNA from 10 species
AAUGAACCAUCCUCAUUGGUGCGAGGAAGAAAUUCGCAUUUGCUUUCCACUUAGUCUUACAAAGUCUAUCUCCACAUUUAGGAGUGUCAGAGACAUUAGUACAGAGAAAUGCUACUGGAAAUGUGGAGAGAAAGAGGAAUGUGUAACUUCAGAAGGGAGAGACAGAGUCAAAUUUGCCCAAAAAAUGAUUCCCUGGGUGAUCUUCAGAGACUCAAUUAACCUCUCUGCAUCCGUGUCUUGGUUUACUAGGGGUGGCAUAAAUUUGCUCUUCCUUAACUCAUGAACAACACAGCCCUAAAUGUAUGAGACAGAUUUGUGUUUUUGGAAGACGAUGUAAAAAGGCAUAUUGUAUAGUUAUUUUUAUUUGUGAAUACAUUUGUAAAUACAUUUGUAAACGUUGAUAUUGUACAUUUGUGACACACUGAUAGUUAAUAAAGGAUUUUUGCAUGUGGCUCUUAUUUAAAUGUUCCCCAAAGCUAAAGUCACCAGGUUGUUUUCUAAUUUUAUACGUGAGGAAGCCGAGGCUCAGAAAGGUUGCCCAUCCUGGCACACAGCUAGUUUAUGGGCCGGGCAAAUAUCAGAGUCCAGGUCUUCUGACCCUUAGUUCAGAGUGCUCUUACUAGGAACCAACUGCACCUUUACUGUUGCUAAUUAGAGAAAUGUGUGUGGUGAUCAUUCACUCAUUCAUCCGUUCAACAAAUGUAAAUUAAAUACUUACCAAGUGGCAGGCACCAGGGUACAAAAACACCAGUGACACAGAUCACAAUUUGCCAAACUGGUUUGGGUUGCAAAGGGAGUGCUAGCUUAUUUCUAACAUUUGAAAUACUUUUUUUUUUCCUCUGUCACAUUAGGACUAAAAAGGUUUAAGUCCUAUUCUCCUUCUUCCCAUUGAUUAUGGGUGUGGCUGAACCACUCAGAAAUUCAUCACCGGUAACCAACGUUAAGAAGUCGACCAGCCUUUCCACUCUUAAGUAUUUACCCAGGAGCAAACAAUAGCAUCUGCCUGUCCUUGUAU